UGGGGAAUAUUGCGCAAUGGGCGAAAGCCUGACGCAGCAACGCCGUGUGAGGGAUGAAGGCUUUCGGGUCGUAAACCUCUGUCGGAUGGGAAGAACGGGCAUUGGUCUAAUAGGCCUUUGUUUUGACGGUACCUUUAGAGGAAGCACCGGCUAACUCCGUGCCAGCAGCCGCGGUAAUACGGAGGGUGCAAGCGUUAUUCGGAAUUACUGGGCGUAAAGCGCACGUAGGCCGCUUUGUAAGUCAGGGGUGAAAUCCCACGGCUCAACCGUGGAACGGCCCUUGAAAAUGCAGAGCUAGAAGACUGGAGAGGGGGGGGGAAGGCGUGGUGGAGGAGGGAAAUCCGUAGAGAUAAGGAGGAACACCGGUGGCGAAGGGGGCCACCUGGACAGGCAUUGACGCUGAGGGGCGAAAGUG
rnacentral:rRNA from 1 species